CCUUUUCCUCAAGGCUGAGCAGCAUCAAAUUUUGGAAACUUCUCCUUUAGCAUGCUGUAGGACUCCCAAGUGGCAUCUUCCUUUGGUAAGUUGGCCCAUUGCACCAGCACUUCAGUUACAGGAUGUCUGCGGUACAUUGUAACUCGUCGAUCAAGUAUGACUUGUGGUUGAGCUUGAACUUCCCCAGUAGUAGAAGUGUCCGGCAAAUGGCACUGCACUAUUGCAUCUUCACCCAAUUUCCUUUUAAGGCAUGCAACAUGAAAGACUGGAUGUAUUUUAGAGCUAGCAGGCAAAUCCAAG
rnacentral:lncRNA from 1 species